rnacentral:rRNA from 1 species
UCGGGAAUAUUGCGCAAUGGAGGAAACUCUGACGCAGUGACGCCGCGUAUAGGAAGAAGGUUUUCGGAUUGUAAACUAUUUUAGACAGGGAAGAAAAAAGACAGUACCUGUAAAAUAAGCUCCGGCUAACUACGUGCCAGCAGCCGCGGUAAUACGUAGGGAGCGAGCGUUGUCCGGAAUUACUGGGUGUAAAGGGAGCGUAGGCGGGAAGGUAAGUUGGGUGUGAAAACUAUUGGCUCAACCAAUAGAUUGCACUCAAAACUACUUUUCUUGAGUGAAGUAGAGGCAGGCGGAAUUCCUAGUGUAGCGGUGAAAUGCGUAGAUAUCACGCAGAACUCCAAUUGCGAAGGCAGCUUACUAAGCUACAACUGACACUGAAGCACGAAAGCGUGGGUAUCGAACA